UACGUAGGGUGCAAGCGUUAAUCGGAAUCACUGGGCGUAAAGUGUGCGCAGGCGGUUGUGUAAGACAGGUGUGAAAUCCCCGGGCUUAACCUGGGAACUGCGCUUGUGACUGCACAACUAGAGUACGGCAGAGGGGGGUGGAAUUCCACGUGUAGCAGUGAAAUGCGUAGAUAUGUGGAGGAACACCGAUGGCGAAGGCAGCCCCCUGGGCCUGUACUGACGCUCAUGCACGAAAGCGUGGGGAGCAAACAGG
rnacentral:rRNA from 1 species